rnacentral:rRNA from 1 species
UACUAGAGUAGCACUCGCAUAUCAAUAAGCGGAGGAAAAGAAACUAACAAGGAUUCCCCUAGUAACGGCGAGUGAAGCGGGAAGAGCUCAAAUUUGAAAUCUUAAAGGGUUUCCCUUUACGAAUUGUAGUUUAAAGAAGUGUUUUCUGUUGAGGUUUUGGUAAAAGUUCUUUGGAAUAGGACAUCAUAGAGGGUGAGAAUCCCGUAUUUGACCUUUACUUUCAACUUUGUGAUACACUUUCAAAGAGUCGGAUUGUUUGGGAAUGCAGUCCAAAAUGGGUGGUAAAUUUCAUCUAAAGCUAAAUAUUGGCGAGAGACCGAUAGCGAACAAGUACCGUGAGGGAAAGAUGAAAAGAACUUUGAAAGGAGAGUUAAACAGUACGUGAAAUUGUCAAAAGGGAAGCGUUUGACACCAGUGUUGUUUUUCUGAAAAUCAAUUAAAGAACUGUUUAUGCUAAGUUGUUUAGACUUUAUCAGCUAACUGUUUAGUUUUGAGCUUUUCUUUAAUGCACUUUUCAGUUAACAAGUCAACAUCAAUUUCUUUUGCUGUAAAAAGCUUGAGGAAGGUGGCUUGAGAUUCGUCUUAAGUGUUUAUAGCCUCUUGCCUAUGCAGUCGGAGAGAUUGAGGUCUGCAGCGUAGAUCCUUCGGGGCUAAAUGCAUUUGUGCUAAGUUAUAGCAUUUUAUAGACAACUUGUUGACUAUGAUUUGUCUUGUAGCUUACUCGCUUAUGUUAUUUUACCUACGCUUAGGAUGUUGAGCGCAUGUCUCUCUCU